AAUGGAGUGCCUGAUUAAAGGAUAAUCUUGAUAGGAUUAAUAAAGUAAAUAUUUUACCCCCAUUA
rnacentral:tRNA from 1 species